GCAAAUUAAAGCAACAAAAAAUCAUAAGCAUGCUAAAGAAGUGAAAACAUAGAUUUAUAUACCUCUGGUAAAUCAUCGAUUCGAUGAGAACUAAAGCUCUCCAAUCACCGGUAAUAAUCCUCUUCACUUUAGUUUUCCUCAACAAAUUAAUCAACCGCAAUUAUACUAGAAGAAGGAGAUGUGAUAUGGGUUGUGGAUGCUUGUACGGAUCCAUCGGUCUACCUUGACUUUUAUAGAUAGAAUCGGCGCUGGGGAGGGGGGGAGAGGGGAGAGGGAGGGAUUGGUGGAUGUUAGAAUAGAGAUUUUGGAGAAAAAACAAUUAAUGUGAUGUUUAUAGAAAUCCAUCAGUCUACGUUCCAUUUUAUAGAUGGAACAAAAGAGGGUUUGGGGGGGGGGGGGGUUGGUGGGAUGUUAGAAUUUGGAGAAAACAAUUAGAGAAAUUACAUAGUAGCACAUGACCAAAUUUAAAAACACAAAAAACCCACUUCUAAUAAUUUUUAUAUAAAUUAGGACAUGGGCCUCAAGCCCAAAACCAAAUAAUAGCAGAUAUGAUCCAAAUGUUAAAUUUAAAUGAUCAAAAUGUUCUAUUUCUUAAUAAAAUUACACUAAAUGCCACUCUUACUCCAUUUCCUUCUCUCAUUCCAACAUUUUGAUUCUUCUUCUUCUUCUUCUUCUUCUUCUCUCUCUCUCUCUAAUCUACCAGAUCUCAUCAUCACCAAUUUCAAUCCAUGGCUCUCUUUCUCUAUCUCUCUCUCAGAUCUACCAGAUCUCAUCAUCACAAUUUCAAUCCAUGACACGAUUUGAUAUGCCGCACCUUCAUCUUCCAUGGCGGCGAGCGCCUUGAACGAUGAACUCAUAGUCUUGUGCCACCGGACAUGGCCGCCGAUUGUGUCUAAGGAGUCGACCGGCAUCGUGGAGAAGACCGUCGAUAUCUUUUCGCGACAAUGUGGGGAGGAGCUUGCCCUAAAGACGGGAAUCUGUCGUCGGUCGUGUUUUUAUCGACAACUACAAGGUGGUGCUGCUACUGUCCUUAUUUGCCUGCUACA
rnacentral:lncRNA from 1 species